GGUUUCGUGUGAACAGUGGUUGAUCACGAGUUAGUCGGUCCUAAGUUCAAGGCGAAAGCCGAAAAUGUUCAAGUAAAAAAUCAAUAAGCAUAUAUUGUCAAAUCUUUAAUGAUUUUUUUGAAACACUUGAUUAAUUUUGAACGAAAGGGAAUACGGUUCCAAUUCCGUAACCUGUUGAGUAUCCGUUGGUUAUUAAAUAUGGGCCUCGUGCUCAUCCUGGCAACAGGAACGACCAUAAAGAAGCCGUCGAGAGAUAUCGGAAGAGUUUUCUUUUCUGUUUUAUAGCCGUACUACCAUGGAAGUCUUUCGCAGAGAGAUAUGGUAGAUGGGCUAGAAGAGCAUGACAUAUACUGUUGUGUCGAUAUUUUCUCCUCGGACCUUGAAAAUUUAUGGUGGGGACACGCAAACUUCUC
rnacentral:rRNA from 1 species